rnacentral:tRNA from 1 species
GGGCCCGUAGUCUAGCUGGUUAGGACGCCGCCCUUACACGGCGGAGGUCGCCGGUUCGAAUCCGGCCGGGCCCA